GAUGAACGCUGGCGGCGUGCCUAAUACAUGCAAGUCGAGCGAACGGACGAGAAGCUUGCUUCUCUGGUGUUAGCGGCGGACGGGUGAGUAACACGUGGAUAACCUACCUAUAAGACUGGGAUAACUUCGGGAAACCGGAGCUAAUACCGGAUGAUAUUUUGAACCGCAUGGUUCAAAAGUGAAAGACGGUCUUGCUGUCACUUAUAGAUGGAUCCGCGCUGCAUUAGCUAGUUGGUAAGGUAACGGCUUACCAAGGCAACGAUGCAUAGCCGACCUGAGAGGGUGAUCGGCCACACUGGAACUGAGACAUGGUCCAGACUCCUACGGGAGGCAGCAGUGGGGAAUCUUCCGCAAUGGGCGAAAGCCUGACGGAGCAACGCCGCGUGAGUGAUGAAGGUCUUCGGAUCGUAAAACUCUGUUAUUAGGGAAGAACAUAUGUGUAAGUAACUGUGCACAUCUUGACGGUACCUAAUCAGAAAGCCACGGCUAACUACGUG
rnacentral:rRNA from 1 species